UACGUAGGUGGCAAGCGUUGUUCGGAAUUAUUGGGCGUAAAGGGCGCGUAGGCGGUUUGUUAAGUCGGCUGUGAAAGCCCGGGGCUCAACCCCGGAGGGUCAGCCGAUACUGGCAGACUAGAGUACGGAAGAGGUAGCUGGAAUUCCCGGUGUAGCGGUGAAAUUCGUAGAUAUUGGGAGGAACACCGGUGGCGAAGGCGGCUACCUGGACAGUGACUGACGCUGAGGCGCGAAAGCAUGGGUAGCAAACAGG
rnacentral:rRNA from 1 species